rnacentral:lncRNA from 1 species
CCACAUUCCGAUGCCGCCCACAGCUGCGACUCCGUGCCGGAAAUUGCCCUCAGGAACCGACCGACCUGCGUCUCGCGGAGAGGGUGAGGCCGGAGUUCGAGACUAGGCGGCCGCAAGGGAUGGACCGCCGCGCGGGGUGGGAGGCGGAAGAUUCCUGUGCCGCCGCCUCGGGAGACGAAUUCCCGCAUCGGGCGGUUGCUACUUUGGUCGGAGGAGGGAGCGGUGGAGGUGGAGAGCUUGCGGUCGAGAAACUGGAGCAUGCAGUCGAGGCGCUUGGUGGUGGAGUGGAUGGAAGCAGCUGAGGGCGUAACGACGUCGUUAUCAUCGUCGUCAUCGGAAGAAGGGAAGUACAUAAGGGUGGGAGAGUGGUGGUGGCGAGUGUGUGAGGAUGAAACGACGUCGUUUUGGUUGAAAGGUGGAUCCAUUAUUGUCGUUUAGUUGCUAUUGCGAGGAUCGGAGGAAAUAUAGGGAUAGAGCCAGAGGCAGGAUGAAACGGCGUUGUUUGUGGGGAAACGGCGUUGUUUGUGGGGAUUUUGCUGAGAGUGUUGGAUUGAGUUGAAAUUGGUUGGGAGAAAAAAGGGGAGACUGGGAGAGGAAGAAGGGAGAGUGGGAAUAAUUGAGAUUUGAGAAGUGAAAGUGGAAUUUGGACAGGUGAGCUGUGAGCUGUGAGCUGUGAGCUGUGAGCUGACCCGGUUGUUUGUUCGAGCACAACACAACAUGCCUUGCCUUACUUUUCUUUAGGUAUGUUCUUUUGUCUUUACGUUGUUACCUGUUUGUUGUAUGUAGAGAUGGCAAUGGCUUUCCACCUUCUAGUAAAAUGUAUCCCAUCAUCAUCUUAUUUUUGCUUUGGGUUUCCCUUUUUUUUUCCGCAAGGGAGAAUGAUACCUGUAGGUAUUUAUAAAUAUUAAUUUUAAUUUUUUUAAAAAAAAUCAGUACAAUUAUAAUAAAAUUGGAUGUACAAUUUAAUUAAAUAUAUUAAAUCAAAACGGAAUGAUGAAAAGACUAUUUUGGUGAUAUUGAAACUACAAACUAGCAAUUUUCAAUGUUUAUAUGUCUCUUCUAAAUAUAUGAAACAUUUUAGAUGACCUCUUAUAAUUGUAAUUAACAAUGCAAAUUAUUUCUAAACUUAUUCCAAAAAAUAUAAGCUAAAGAAAAACAUUUUAAAAACGCCAUAAAAAAUUUUGAUCACUCUUCUCUUUUUUUCAUUUUAAAAAUAUGGUUGAGUUAUGACCACAUCGUGUUCAGGAAUUGUCACGCAGGAAAUAAUAGAGAGCUUAAUUCAUAUGAACCAUCGGUAUAUCACUCUUUUAUCCAUGAACUAGCAGUCCAACACCUCAUUGGAUAUCAACAGUAAAUAAAAUUUAAAAGCAGAAAUAAAUAAAUUGAAAAGUAAAGAACGGAAGAAUGGAGGAUCACCGUAAGAGGUUAUAGUGAGGGAGAGAACAGGUCCUCUAUGAGCAUGCCAAGACAAGCACUCCUUGAAAGGAUUCCUCAACUUCCUAUUAUCCUCCAAAACCACACGAUCACCAUCACCGUCACCAUCACCACCGUCCAUCACCCAGCACCUUAUUCUUCCAUCCCUGUGCCCGCUCCACACUACUCUGUUCCCAUCGUCCGCCACCAAGCACAUCGCCGCCGACGUCCAUACUGAUUCCCGAAACGGCACACUCUCUUCGUCCCCAACCCUAACGUUGCAUCCUCCUCCUCCUUCUCCAUCUCCAUCCCCUUCUUCCCAAGAACAAUACAGAUCUUUGAAGUUCCAGAACCUCACGCCACAUUCCGAUGCCGCCCACAGCUGCGACUCCGUGCCGGAAAUUGCCCUCAGGAACCGACCGACCUGCGUCUCGCGGAGAGGGUGAGGCCGGAGUUCGAGACUAGGCGGCCGCAAGGGAUGGACCGCCGCGCGGGGUGGGAGGCGGAAGAUUCCUGUGCCGCCGCCUCGGGAGACGAAUUCCCGCAUCGGGCGGUUGCUACUUUGGUCGGAGGAGGGAGCGGUGGAGGUGGAGAGCUUGCGGUCGAGAAACUGGAGCAUGCAGUCGAGGCGCUUGGUGGUGGAGUGGAUGGAAGCAGCUGAGGGCGUAACGACGUCGUUAUCAUCGUCGUCAUCGGAAGAAGGGAAGUACAUAAGGGUGGGAGAGUGGUGGUGGCG